rnacentral:rRNA from 1 species
GACGAACGCUGGCGGCGUGCCUAAUACAUGCAAGUUGAGCGCUGAAGGUUGGUACUUGUACCAACUGGAUGAGCAGCGAACGGGUGAGUAACGCGUGGGGAAUCUGCCUUUGAGCGGGGGACAACAUUUGGAAACGAAUGCUAAUACCGCAUAAAAACUUUAAACACAAGUUUUAAGUUUGAAAGAUGCAAUUGCAUCACUCAAAGAUGAUCCCGCGUUGUAUUAGCUAGUUGGUGAGGUAAAGGCUCACCAAGGCGAUGAUACAUAGCCGACCUGAGAGGGUGAUCGGCCACAUUGGGACUGAGACACGGCCCAAACUCCUACGGGAGGCAGCAGUAGGGAAUCUUCGGCAAUGGACGAAAGUCUGACCGAGCAAACGCCGCGUGAGUGAAAGAAAGGUUUUCGG